rnacentral:rRNA from 1 species
CACGUAGGGGGCCAGCGUUGUCCGGAAUUACUGGGCGUAAAGAGCGCGUAGGCGGUCUAGUAAGCAGCGGGUGAAAUUCCGGGGCUCAACUCCGGAGCUGCUCGCUGAACUGUUAGACUAGAGUUCGGGAGAGGGUAGUGGAAUUCCUGGUGUAGCGGUGGAAUGCGUAAAUAUCAGGAAGAACACCCGUGGCGAAGGCUGCUACCUGGAACGAUACUGACGCUGAGGCGCGAAAGCUAGGGGAGCGAACGGG